rnacentral:misc_RNA from 1 species
UACGAAGGGGGCUAGCGUUGUUCGGAAUUACUGGGCGUAAAGCGCACGUAGGCGGAUUGUUAAGUGAGGGGUGAAAUCCCAGGGCUCAACCCUGGAACUGCCUUUCAUACUGGCAAUCUAGAGUCCAGAAGAGGUGAGUGGAAUUCCGAGUGUAGAGGUGAAAUUCGUAGAUAUUCAGAGGAACACCAGUGGCGAAGGCGGCUCACUGGCUCGGUACUGACGCUGAGGUGCGAAAGCGUGGGGAGCAAACAGG